UUGCUCAUCAACAGAGGCUGGAGAAAAGACACGCAGAUCAUUUGAGUUAUGUAAAACUCUGCAUACGGAACUAGCCACGGACCCGCUUACUCCAGAUCUCAUGAUCAGAGCAGAUAGUAUAUGAUUUCCUUUGUGUGUGGGUGUGUGUUCAGAAGGACCUUUCCUGGACUGAGAAAACUUGCUUCUUGCCGCAAGACUGGGGAAGUUCCAGGAAGUUGCCUCAGAGCCUGUGCUAGAACCUCUGUGCUCACUGGAGGAGUGAGGGGUGCUGACUGAAGUCUGGCAGACACUUCUCUUGAAGAACCUUCACGCUUCUUACCCAGCUUCAGCUUGCAUCAACUCUACAAGUCCAGUGCCUCAUGACAACUACAGGACUCAAUCGGUCCAGUUGAAACUUUGAACUCAGACACCUGGUUGAAGGCACCAAUCCUGAAAAAUAGUUUUGUGAGGUGCCGUCUGCAUUCUGAAGAUUCUGAAGCCCAGGGCGCUCACAGGGAGCCAGAUGCUAUGUGACCGCUGGCUCCCACUCCUGCUGCCGUGCAUUAUCCACUGUGAUGGACUACAUCAUCAAAACCUGAGUCAAAAUACAUCCUUUCCCUGUUAUGUUGUUUUGUCGGGUAUUUUGUUACAGCAAUGUGAAAAUCAACUGAUAACAAAAGCACACUUUGUUCAGUUUGUUGAUAACAAUGACUUGUGUAGGCACGAAACUGAAGUGUGCUUGAGGGCUCUUUCAUGGUGGGAAUCUGGACACCAGUUCCCAGCUAGGUGUGCCAGCUCUUGAAUGUACUUAAGGCACCUUACGUUGUGCUUAAGAUCUGUGUAUUUAUUUUAAUGGAAACAGCAUAGUUAUCCAUAUUUCUGGCAUACAGUGUGAUAGAUAAUUCAGUAUAUAUGUGCAUAUGGUGAUCAGGUUAAUUAGCA